AAGGACAAGACCAGCCCCUCCCUUCUGUAGCUUCCGGCUUCUCCUCUCAAUCCCACUGGGAUGUGACAAGAGCCAUCGUGAGGUCCCCACCAGAAGCAGAAAUGAUAGGGUCACCCAGCCUUGGACUUCUGGACUCCCAAACUGUGAAGACCCAACUACCCAAGCCCCAUGGGUUCUAGGCUAGGUCCAGAGGCCCCUGGACCACUGCCUCCCCUGGCAUUGCUUCUGGCAGAUGUGCCAAUGUUCAGCCUUCCCUGGCCUUCCCUGGCCUUCCCUGCCUUCCUGUUUUACCCUCUCCCAGGAUGUCACUUCCAGGCUUCUGCUUUUUGAUGGCAAUUCAUCAGUCUGGAUUUAGGAACUAUUGGCUUAAGGAUUCCCUUUGACACUCUCCCUGCCUUAUUUGCCUGAAGUUAUCAGUUGGGUUCCAGAGACCGCCUCACGCCUUGGCUCCUUCAGAGCCUCCCCAGGCCCGGGCUGUCAGUUUGCAUCAGCUUUAACCCAGCCUGGUGCAGGGUGACCAGACACCUCACGCUCUUGCUUCCAUGCCUUCCCCACCAUCAUGGAUGGGAACACCAAACUGUGAGCCAAAGUAAAUUCUUCAAUAUGUUUGCUUCUU